rnacentral:rRNA from 1 species
GUAGAGUGUGGUAGAGGUGGUGGAAUUUCCUGGUAGCGGUGGAAUGCGUAGAUAUAGGAAGGAACACCAGUGGGAAAGGCGACCACCUGGACUGAUACUGACAGUGAGGUGCGAAAAGCGUUGGGAGCAAACAGGAUUAGAUACCCUGGUAGUCCACGCCGUAAACGAUGUCAACUAGCCGUUGGGAGCCUUGAGCUCUUAGUGGCGCAGCUAACGCAUUAAGUUGACCGCCUGGGGAGUACGGCCGCAAGGUUAAAACUCAAAUGAAUUGACGGGGGCCCGCACAAGCGGUGGAGCAUGUGGUUUAAUUCGAAGCAACGCGAAGAACCUUACCAGGCCUUGACAUCCAAUGAACUUUCCAGAGAUGGAUUGGUGCCUUCGGGAACAUUGAGACAGGUGCUGCAUGGCUGUCGUCAGCUCGUGUCGUGAGAUGUUGGGUUAAGUCCCGUAACGAGCGCAACUCUUGUCCUUAGUUACCAGCACGUUAUGGUGGGCACUCUAAGGAGACUGCCGGUGACAAACCGGAGGAAGGUGGGGAUGGCGUCAAGUCAUCAUGGCCCUUACGGCCUGGGCUACACACGUGCUACAAUGGUCGGUACAGAGGGUUGCCAAGCCGCGAGGUGGAGCUAACCCCACAAAACCGAUCGUAGUCCGGAUCGCAGUCUGCAACUCGACUGCGUGAAGUCGGAAUCGCUAGUAAUCGCGAAUCAGAAUGUCGCGGUGAAUACGUUCCCGGGCCUUGUACACACCGCCCGUCACACCAUGGGAGUGGGUUGCACCAGAAGUAGCUAGUCUAACCUUCGGGAGGACGGUUACCACGGUGUGAUUCAUGACUGGGGUGAAGUCGUAACAAGGUA